rnacentral:lncRNA from 1 species
GACGUCAGGGCCGCGGCCGAGCCGGCCAAACUCAAGUUGGUUCAGGGAAUUGUCAACAAAGGGACGAGAGACGCGCAACUCCGCUCCGCACUGUGCGCCAGCAUCCCCGGGGCACGGAGGGCGCUGCGGCCCGCCCGGAGACCCCCCCACCCAGGCUGGAUCCGGGCCCUGGGGCCCAGGGAGCGGGUGGGUGUGAGUGUGGGUGGGUGUGAGCGAGUCAGGGCGUGGGCCUGGGAGCGUCCGCGGGACUGUGCGACUGUCGCUGCCCUGCCUUCCCCGCCCCCUCUCCCUUCCGCCCUUCUCCCCCCCACUUUGUCACACUCCUUAGACAGGGACUGGGCGACCUAGAACGAGGUUCCCAUAUCGUGUUUUAAAAAGCAAAACUUAGUCUCUGUUUUGCUUUUUGUUUCAUUGUUUUUAGCUUUAAAGAGUAAGAGCAGCGCACCCGGCUCCCUCCUGCUAAUUAGAUUUCAGAUUCCCCUCUGGCCUCAGUGCUCAUUCCGGGGAAGACACCUGCUGAGAUGUCUUUUUCCCCCUCCCCCAACCAAACCACUCAGGUCCUACCUGCUCUUUCCCGGCUUGAUGCGGGCGUGUUUUCCUGUAUGUAUUUUUUCGUGCGGCCACAAAAAGCAUCAGCUGGGGUUCCCGAAGGUCAGAAAAUGGCUAUUGAUUAAUCUACUAGAAUAGUUGCCGAGAGAAAUAAAAACGACGUAAAAUAGCAGGGAACCUAUAAAUAAAGAAGCCAUAACUGGCUACUUGGAGUUGUUAAACGACUUAGCAUAUGAAAAAAUCGGAAAUGAGGCGCUGGGGAAGGAGCUGGGAUUGGCAGCGGCCUGGGUGUGGACAAAUCCUCCAAGAUUUAACUUCCAAGAAAACCGGCGGCGGAGCGGGUGGAGGAGGCGAGGAUGUGUGGCCAAUGCACGCGGAGUGCAAGGCCGCCUAGUUGGGAGCCGCAAGAGCCUGCCUGGUGUGGCAGGCACACGGAACCCAAUCCCUGUCUGUCCGCUGCGGCCUGGGAGGGGAGCGCCGGCCUCACCAGAGGAAGGAGCACGAGGGGAGGAGUUCCGAGAGGAAAUAAUUAGUGAAAUAUUUGCAGAAGAUGCUGGGAUGUGGAUUUAAUUCCGGAUGGACAGUGGUGCUUCUGAUUCCCUCAGUCUGUUUCCCCACCCACGAUCUCCUCUUUCCUUGGCCUAGACACACCAAAAAUAAUUCAAUAAAAUAAAAAUAAAAAUUUAAAAAUCUGUAAA